GCUGGACUCGCCUGAAGAGAGAUCUAAAGUAUCCAAAGAGGAUUUUGCCGAACCGACGAAGUCCCAAAGAACCGAAGCCACGAACGGAGCUGAAGUCACGAAAAGACCCGAAGCCACAAUUGGAGCCGAAGCCACGAAAAGAUCCGAAGUUCAAGUCCUGAAGCCCAGAAAAGACCCAAAAGCACAAAAGGAGCCUAAGGAAGACAAAAGAGAAUAAACAGUGAGUUAUUUGGGACCUUCCGUGGAACACAGAUCUUUACAGCAUUGCCUUGUUCAGCCGUUUAAGGUUCAGAGCUGUCACUGUCAGGCACAACGUGGUCCUGGGAU